ncrna:Bacillus cereus BDRD-ST26 DTF3800-VIII RNA
AAAGCCUGAUUACUUCGAAGGCUCAAGUUUCACUUGGGUUAUUAGUAGAAGUAAUGGGGCUUU